UGCUCUAAGAGCAUCAUUAAUGCAGUUUCUAAGAUGAGUUUUUAAACAAAAGAAGGCAUUUAAGUAAAUCAAAAAGAAAAGAAAUAAGGAUAACUGAUCCUUAAUUAAGCGUUUUUGGAACCGAUCGAAAAGGGGACUCUUAAUACACGUGUCGGCUUUUGUGAUUUUUUUUUUUCCUUUCUUCCCCCAAAUCGAUUUGCGAUGGCCAGCGAAGAUUUCCAGUCUCGCGUCGAGAGGAUCUUCGGAUCUCUCGCCUUCUCCUGCUCCACGUCUUCUACUACCUCCACGUCUUCUGCGCCGCCGCUGCGGCAAACGCAAUGAGGCUCGGUGUGGUCUCUCUCCGGCGCAGAAGUGGAGAAGCGGGAGUGGAAGCGAGAGCAGCUCGCUUCGUACGAUAGGGAAGAGAUGCCUUGUGCGUCAUCGUUCGACGAGAUUCUGAGGCAGCAGAGGAUCUCGAGCACUGAUCGGAAGGAGCAUCAGAGCAUCCAUGGGCCUUGACCGUACUCUCGAUGAUGAGAAGAUGAGUAUGAUAAGGUCGCACUAGGGAAAGAGGAUGGUGGUAAAGGCGUGUCUAUGGAAGAUGCCAUUUCGAGACCUUGUGGUGUGCGGAUUCGGGACCCUUGUGCUAACCAUGCUGCUGCAAAAAUGAGGUUGAAGGAAGAUGAACUCGAGGCCAACAAGUAAGGUUUUCUUGUUUAUGUUUCUUCUUAUUGAGUAAGUGAUUUUCUUCAAUUCUUCUAAAAAUUUUAAUUUUU